UUGACAAGUGCCGGGUGGUGAUUCUGU
rnacentral:piRNA from 1 species